AAAUGUCAACGUGAGCAAAACAACCUGGAAGUUGAAAGGCGGGAGAGCAACAAGACAUCUCUCAUCAAUUUUACCCUCAAGACGGGCAGCGAAAGCUUCACAACCCUGUCUUGCGUGUCUGGGAUACAGGAACGAGAAUGGACAUGACUCUACAUUUCCCAGACCUAAUUCAAUAUGGAAAUAAACAUGGAGUUGCAGGAUGGAUGUGAUAUUUGGCAAAUGAGCAAGGUAAACUGGAUUGUCUUGGAAGGCACUACCCAGACCUAAUUAAUUACAGAAGUAAAGGUGGAGUUGGAGGAUGGAUGCCAGAGGAAUUGUCUAAGAAGUAAGAACCAGAACAAGCCAACCCGUCCCCUGUGUGGUGUCAUCCUCCUCUUCUCCUCCUCCUCCUCCUUUGCUCUUUUGUUCCUUCGCCCUGUAUUUCCCUCCCGCCGAUGGAUCAGACCGCCCUGGUGCGCCACCAGACCAAAAAGCGAAAAGGGCAAGAAAUUUGUCACCUUCCCCAACAAGACCCUCACCAGGCAAAAGAACAACGGCAUUAAUCAUCUGACAUUUCAAUAUUGUAUUACCCUUUCUGCUGAAAAUCAAGGGGGUCAUUAAAUUGGUAAAAGGAGACGGGGUGCAGAUCAAUAGAACAAGCCUCGAACAGAACCUUGAGCUUUACUGCCGUCUGCAGAUUCACAGCUGCUGUCAGUAGGUAUGAUAGGAGACAGCCUUAACUAAUUACCUCUACGUGAAGGGCAUGAAGUGGCGUUCAAUGCAUUGAUGGCGGCAGUGAAGAGAACACUUAAUCAGCAGGCAAUGAAUAUAAACAGGCAGAGACCACCAUAGGGAGCCCCUUGUUUGUGGCAUCGUUCGUGAUAAGCCGCUGGUAUGUAAAAACAACAUACAACGUUGAAUUGCGUACAGUAUGUCGAAAUGCUUUAGACAAGGGUAGAGUUUGAGAAUGUGCCUUCCAAAUGUUUUCACGUUCUGUUUUUGGUACGAGGCACAGGGAAAGCUUUUCUUCAAGAAUGAAUUAAAAGGAGCGACAAGCUAAUAGCGAGAGAUACCUCAGUUGUUUCUCUUCGCGUUCACAAGCCUCUCCUGGCCAUUCACCCGUGUCUUCAUCAUUCAUCAUGCUGCAAUCGCUGUGUGUCUGUUCAGCAGGUCAUUUAACUACAAAAACAUGCCAAUUUAGCGUGUUUGUGUGUUCGCGGACAUCUUCAAACGCUGUUUGGACAUGGUCAAUC